GACGAACGCUGGCGGCGUGCUUAACACAUGCAAGUCGAACGGAAAGGCCCUGCUUUUGUGGGGUGCUCGAGUGGCGAACGGGUGAGUAACACGUGAGUAACCUGCCCUUGACUUUGGGAUAACUUCAGGAAACUGGGGCUAAUACCGGAUAGGAGCUCCUGCUGCAUGGUGGGGGUUGGAAAGUUUCGGCGGUUGGGGAUGGACUCGCGGCUUAUCAGCUUGUUGGUGUGGUAGUGGCUUACCAAGGCUUUGACGGGUAGCCGGCCUGAGAGGGUGACCGGCCACAUUGGGACUGAGAUACGGCCCAGACUCCUACGGGAGGCAGCAGUGGGGAAUAUUGCACAAUGGGCGGAAGCCUGAUGCAGCAACGCCGCGUGCGGGAUGACGGCCUUCGGGUGGUAAACCGCUUUCGCCGGUGACGAAGCGGGAGUGACGGUAAUGGGUAAAGAAGCACCGGCUAACUACGUG
rnacentral:rRNA from 1 species